rnacentral:rRNA from 1 species
UACGUAGGGCGCAAGCGUUAUCCGGAAUUAUUGGGCGUAAAGAGCUCGUAGGCGGUUUGUCGCGUCUGCCGUGAAAGUCCGGGGCUCAACUUCGGAUCUGCGGUGGGUACGGGCAGACUAGAGUGCUGUAGGGGAGACUGGAAUUCCUGGUGUAGCGGUGAAAUGCGCAGAUAUCAGGAAGAACACCGAUGGCGAAGGCAGGGCUCUGGGCAGUGACUGACGCUGAGGAGCGAAAGCAUGGGGAGCGAACAGG